rnacentral:rRNA from 1 species
UACGAAGGGGCAAGCGUUGUUCGGAAUUACUGGGCGUAAAGGGCGCGUAGGCGGCUUAUCAAGUCAGGCGUGAAAUUCCCGGGCUCAACCUGGGGGCUGCGCUUGAUACUGAUUGGCUUGAAUGCGGGAGAGGAUAGUGGAAUUCCCAGUGUAGAGGUGAAAUUCGUAGAUAUUGGGAAGAACACCAGUGGCGAAGGCGGGUUCUCUGGGCAUUUACCUGACGCUGAGGAGCGAAAGUGUGGGGAGCGAACAGG